AUUGAACGCUGGCGGCAUGCCUUACACAUGCAAGUCGAACGGCAGCACGGGAGCUUGCUCCUGGUGGCGAGUGGCGAACGGGUGAGUAAUACAUCGGAACGUACCCUGAAGUGGGGGAUAACGUAGCGAAAGUUACGCUAAUACCGCAUAUUCUGUGAGCAGGAAAGAGGGGGAUCGCAAGACCUCUUGCUUUAGGAGCGGCCGAUGUCGGAUUAGCUAGUUGGUGAGGUAAAGGCUCACCAAGGCGACGAUCCGUAGCGGGUCUGAGAGGAUGAUCCGCCGCACUGGGACUGAGACACGGCCCAGACUCCUACGGGAGGCAGCAGUGGGGAAUUUUGGACAAUGGGCGCAAGCCUGAUCCAGCCAUGCCGCGUGAGUGAAGAAGGCCU
rnacentral:rRNA from 1 species